rnacentral:tRNA from 1 species
CAGGGUCGUAGCGCAGAGGUCGACGCGCCGGACUCAUAAUCCGGAGGACGCCGGUUCGAUUCCGGUCGGCCCUGCCC